GAGGCGUGAUGAGGAUGAUGUGUGCUCCACUCUGGCUUCUUCCCAUGAAGCCCAUUUCAGCCUCCACGUGUCCUUCACCGGGAGCUCAUUCUCACCUCAGGAGCAGCAUUUCAUCAAGAAUUGAUUGGGCAAAUGAAGGUUUCCCCUCACUUACAAACCCAAGAUGGUGUUGAGAAGGAUGACAGCUCUGAUGAGGAGUCUCUUCCACCGGUCAGAUAAGAUCAACUGCAGAGCUCGAGGCACAUUCUGCUGCAUGUGAUUAAAUGUCCCCCAGUGUGUGAGACCAGAAUUCCGCUCGCCGAAAAGAACAAUGCUGGAAACCCGAAGCAAGGAAAAGAGGCACCAGCACCACAUCUGAAGGCAGAGCAUAUGCCUCCCAUGCCUCCCGGCUCACACUUCACGCAGCUUCCCAUGAUCAAAGACCACGAUGACGUUGACGUGGC